UUGUUUUGUCUCUCUCUUCCGAAAUUCUUUCUCGACUCUUUCUUUCUCGGCUCCGCCUGUUGCGAUGCACUGGAGAUUUCAUUGAUCCGUUGAUUGCUCUUCGCGAUGGCUCUUAUCCUGAUUCACCAAGCGUCUCUUCAAAUCCCCGAUAGCCAUGGAUCUUCUCCUCACACGAUUAUUCCGACUCCGUCUAAGGGAGCUGAUCAAUUUUUGUGCUCGGCGUUGUUUGAAAGGAAGCUGAGAAUUGCAACUGCUUACAAGUUAAGACUCACUCACUCUCCAUUUCCAUAUUUCUUCAUCAAUCGAGCUUAAUUCAACUUUGUCGCCUUUUAAUUUUGUCACUUUGAAGUGUUUAGAGUUGUGGAUUUGAUGUUCUUGUUAUUGAUUCAUUGAUUCAAACGUUUGAACAAAUUAUGUUUGGUAGUGUAUGAUGAGAAACAUACAGAUCUAUUGAUUAUGGGACUGUGACAUUGAGAUUAUUAGAUUUUCGAUUGUCAAUGGGAAUACUAAAUUGUAUCUUUCAUAAACAUCGUUGGCUCUUAUGUUAGUUCCACUAAUCUCUUUCACCUCAUUGCCACCAAUUCUCAUCAUCUCAUCAUCCCUUUCGUCUCCAUUAGAGGUCAAUCUUUUAAACUCAAAGAUUCCACUUUUGUUUUACUCUGUUUUUGCUUAUAUGUGUCAAUGAUAAGUGAGAGUCAAAGUGAUGAUCUUUGUUGUGUUGAGUAAUAAUAGAGAGAUUGAAUGAGAAGAUAGAGGAAACGUUUGGGUGAGAGUUUGUGCUUUUUAUUGAAUUCAGCAGUCCAUCGAUGGAAAAAGUGACGUUUGGUGCUUCUACAUUUUAUGCAUUCUCUUACUGAUCAGUAUAUUGGUUCUAUAUAAGUUAACAGAUUCAUUCGAUACUGAUAUGUCACCUUGUUAUGCGCAGUUUGUCUCAAUGAAAAGUCAUAUCCUGUUCUUAGUUCCAUACUCUUGUGAACAAGAUCUCUGGAUACAUGCUAUCCAAAAUCGAGUCAAAGUCUAAGAGACACUGAACCAGAUGAUGGAAUUUAUACGGCUUAUUAUUUUAGGGGUAGAUUUGAUUGGCCCAACAAUGUACUUUGGUCUCAUGGGUGAUGGUCAGCCUAUUGGUAGCUACGAUGACAUGUGGGCUGGUUGGUGCAUCAAGCAUAGCUAAAUAUGAAGCAUAUGCUCCGUACUUAGUUGUUUGGGAUUGAAGACCACUUGAGCUUGGGAGUGAAGACAAGCUUGGGAUGAGCUUAACCCACCAGCAGCCAAUGGCAAAGCUUGAGCAGUAAAUGUUUUGGAAUUCACAUAAGUUGAAGCAAACCGAGCUUCUCAAGUUGAUUUAGCGUAUUAUACAUAGAUGCCUAUAAAUCUCGGAAAUAUGACGGGCAUUCGAAAUCAAGUUCGUGAUCGUGAUAUGCGUCAACAAUUGAAAACUGAUUUGGUUGAGCAUACAUGUAUACGACAAAAAUUUCGCAACAACCAACAGUAUAACUAAUCGUUAUUCCGGUUUUGUUUUUGUACAUUUUUUAAAAAUGUUGAAAUAAUUUAUGUUUAAUAUU